rnacentral:lncRNA from 1 species
GAAGUUGAAACCAUAAUCUACUGGCAGUAGGAAGGCACCGCCAGAAGAGUUUGGAGCAAGGGAGAAGAUAUGAUCCAAUUUACAUUUUUAAAAGACCCCUGUGUAGAAAAUUUGCAUCGGUUUUUGUGGCAGAAUGAAACCAGAGCCUGGAAGAUUAGCCCUGAGCUAACUGCUGGCAAAUCUCCUUUUUGCUGAGGAAGGCUGGCCCUGAGCUAACAUCCAUGCCCUUCUUCCUCUGCUUUAUAUGUGGGACGUCUACCACAGCAUGGCUUGCCAAGCAGUGACAUGUCCGCACCCAAGAUCCGAUCCAGCGAAUCCUGGGCCACCGAAGCGGAACAUGCUGCACCACUGGGCUGGUCCCAUGAAGAACAUUGCCCAUUGCCUUGGUGCUUGAUCUUGAAAAUGUACUAAAAAUGAUGGUACUACGCCUUCCUGAUGCAGGAAAUUUCCAUCAGAAAGAAGCAGCUGAAAAAAAUCGCCUUGUUGAAGAAUCCUUUGGUAAGUUUCUUUGUAAUCAAAGAUGGAAAUACAUGAUUCAUGUUAGAGCUAAAGAUGUUUUCAUUUUUUUCUCUUUCUCAAGGCAUCAUCACAAUCAGAAAUUUAUAAAUUA